AAAAAAAAAAAAAAAAAAAGAGGAAAGUAAACAAAUUGCAGGUUGGCCAGAGACUUCUGGAAAUCAGGAUUAUCUGGAGGAAUAGGAGGAGAGCAGGCUCAGGCUGAACCUGGUGGCUGUCUGUAUGUGGCUGCAGUACUGUUUGGGAAGGACAGAACUGGGUGUCCUGUGGCUCUGGGAUCAGAGCCAAGUCUGGAGAGAGAUUCUUAAAGGUGGAGAGAGAUGUUCUGACAAUCCUGUGAUGGAUACCUCUUCCUGCAAACGUCAAUAGUCAUGCUGAGGUUGGUGUGAAAACGAAGAAUCCCCAGUCAAGGAACUGGAGGUGAUAGAACCAUGAGGCUGGCAAGCCAGUGGCCAGUGAGCCAGCAUGUUAGACUGGGAAGAAGUUUUGACAUCACCCAGCUUGACAGCCUUGUUUAUGUGCAGCCCGUGAUGUUCUCAUGCUCCCAUCCGUCAUAGAUAAGAUGACCUUGGGUUAUGCAAAAUUCCCAGUGCACUCCACAUAACCCCAUCCCUGUCUUUCCUACUUAGGAAGGCAAUGUGAAUUUAAGCGACUGGAAUUAAUCUUAUUGUAGAAACAACCUUGACUUUUUUCUGAUUCAUGCGAAAUAGCACAUCACUCAUGAGUUUCAGAUCAAUGAUCAGUGACAGGUUACCACACGCAACGCUCCUCAUACCUAAUUGUCACAUACGUGUUUCUCAUCCAACCCUUUCAUUUCACAAUGGGGAAAUUGAGGCCUAGAGAAGGGAAAGAGCCAUAGUCAAGUGCGUAUGAGAGGUGUGAGGUAGGAGCCAAGUCUCCUAACUCCAAACGAUGGCUCUUUCUCUAACUGAGAGCCACUAGCUGUCAACUUAGAUUUUGGUUGGUGGCAGCAAGGGAUAGGCUGGUGAGAGGAAGAAGGAAACAAAGGAAAAGAAAGGUGUGAACCUGCCGUGUUUCAUCCUAGUGACAUCACCAAGGAGAUGCCUGCGUCCAACAAACCUAGCAUUCUCCAGAGCCCCGUGCCUGACCAGUGCUUGGAGGCUGGAAUGAGGCUGUGAGGCUCCAGCAGCCGUUUUGUGCCACGAGGCAGUAGAAACCUGGGUUCCUGAUGACUGUGGAGCUGCCGAACUAAUCUGGACCUCCAGAUUCCAUACCUGCAAGACACAUGAACAUCUGUCUUAUGCCGUGGAAACAGAAAUCUAGUGGAGGAUUCUGAUCCCUAGGGAAUGUAGGGCCACUGGACCCAAUUGCCCUAUAAUCUUGUGUGGUAUUUCCCUGCCCCUGCUCAACUUCAUUGGAUGGUGGAACUGGAAGUGCUGGAGAUGAGCUGCUGUGGCUGUAUGGACAAAGGCAAGAUCCUAUGGGAUGGCCAAGCAACCAGACAGAAGAACUCUUGAGACCUUGAGGAAAAGAACUGCCCGCAACUGCUCUUGACACUCUCUCCCUCUGGCCUGUUGUGUGGGAGAGAAAUAAA
rnacentral:lncRNA from 1 species